AACGUAGGACGCAAGCGUUAUCCGGAGUUACUGGGCGUAAAGCGUGCGCAGGCGGUUCGUUAUGUCCGUUGUGAAAGCCCCGGGCUCAACCUGGGAAUGGCAAUGGAAACUGGCGGGCUAGAGUGUGGCAGAGGGGGGUGGAAUUCCGCGUGUAGCAGUGAAAUGCGUAGAGAUGCGGAGGAACACCGAUGGCGAAGGCAGCCCCGUGGGCUAGCACUGACGCUCAGGCACGAAAGCGUGGGGAGCAAACAGG
rnacentral:rRNA from 1 species